AGUGUGAACCAGGGGUAAGUUUCCAGUAUAUUGUAGGCUACAUUUCCCAGCCAAAAAGUACAAAUUUGGAUUUGCUGGCUCAAAACGACUGACUAUGCUGUGUAAAUCAGAGCCAAUGGUUGCAGUCUGGAGACCAAACAAAGCUGAAAUUCUCAGAAACCAACAUUUGCUUCAGUGCCAAAAAGGAAAGUCCAUUCACUCUAGAUCCGUGCAGAAGCUCCCGAUCAAAGGCUGCUGUUGGCUAAAGAAAGGCUUUCCAAGAAUUCCAAGGAGGUUUUAAACUUAUGUGGGAAUGUAAGUGUGAAGAUGUAAAUGCGCAGUGAUUCACACUUUAAGUCCUGCUCAUGUAGCAGAUUAAAACAGGAGUAUUGAACCAAAAGCUACAGACCAGAACUGCUGUGAUUAAUCACUGGUCCACGGCAGCAUGGCUCAACAUAAUCCUACUGCGUUAUGUCAUCUCUGCAAACCAGGCGCUGGACAGUCUCGCUCUCCUGUUUACACAUGAGGAGAGAUUGGUUGGUGUGGACUGAGAUUUAGAGGGGAGUCUUAAGGAAUACUUGACAUAGCUAAUGGCUUGUCUUGACUUCAAAUUCGAAGAAAAGAGUUCACAGUCUCCCAUCUGUCAGCACGAUGAGGGGAAGCUUUGCUGGGUUCCAGAAAGAUGAAGCUCUUACCUCCAAAUCCCGGUCGCAUGGUGAAGUCAUGGUCGUCUAUCCUCAGCAGCUGUUCGGACUUUCUGCCCCACACUUUAGUGACGUCUGGGCUUCUCUUGACAAUGGUGCUGAUAGAAAACGACAAUGUCGGGGUGAAUAUCUGAUGGGAAGCUUCCUGAGAACAGAAGAGCUGGUGCAGUCGUUUCCACCAGCCGUCAUGUUUUCCUCAGGUCUUAAAUAAGGAGAGUUCUAAUGUUAUUUUAGUAACAAACAAACACCAGCUCACUGUUCAGUCACACUCCCCUACUGGAAAAUGACCAUAAUCAUUUGAAGCAACAAA